rnacentral:misc_RNA from 1 species
UGCUCUGGGGCUCAAAGCGCACCGGUCCUGAUCUGGCACGUAUCGGCGGCAAGUACUCGGACGAGUGGCACGUCGCCCAUCUCAACAAUCCACGUGACGUGAUGUCCGUCUCGGUGAUGCCCGCCUAUGCCUGGCUAUCACGGACCGCGCUAAGGACGGAUGACAUGGGGUUGCAACUGAAGGCGCAACGCGCAGUCGGUGUCCCCUACACCGAUGACAUGAUCGCGAAUGCCGCGGCCGAUACCUA